UGCAAGUCGAGCGAAUGGAUUAAGAGCUUGCUCUUAUGAAGUUAGCGGCGGACGGGUGAGUAACACGUGGGUAACCUGCCCAUAAGACUGGGAUAACUCCGGGAAACCGGGGCUAAUACCGGAUAACAUUUUGAACCGCAUGGUUCGAAAUUGAAAGGCGGCUUCGGCUGUCACUUAUGGAUGGACCCGCGUCGCAUUAGCUAGUUGGUGAGGUAACGGCUCACCAAGGCAACGAUGCGUAGCCGACCUGAGAGGGUGAUCGGCCACACUGGGACUGAGACACGGCCCAGACUCCUACGGGAGGCAGCAGUAGGGAAUCUUCCGCAAUGGACGAAAGUCUGACGGAGCAACGCCGCGUGAGUGAUGAAGGCUUUCGGGUCGUAAAACUCUGUUGUUAGGGAAGAACAAGUGCUAGUUGAAUAAGCUGGCACCUUGACGGUACCUAACCAGAAAGCCACGGCUAACUACGUGCCAGCAGCCGCGGUAAUACGUAGGUGGCAAGCGUUAUCCGGAAUUAUUGGGCGUAAAGCGCGCGCAGGUGGUUUCUUAAGUCUGAUGUGAAAGCCCACGGCUCAACCGUGGAGGGUCAUUGGAAACUGGGAGACUUGAGUGCAGAAGAGGAAAGUGGAAUUCCAUGUGUAGCGGUGAGAUGCGUAGAGAUAUGGAGGAACACCAGUGGCGAAGGCGACUUUUCUGGUCUGUAACUGACA
rnacentral:rRNA from 1 species